GCGCUGGGUAGCUCGGUCAGCAGAGCAGGACGCUCUUGAUCUCAGGGUUGUGGGUUCAAGCCCCACGGUGGGCA